CACCUCACUUUACUCCCUUUUCUCUUAAGGAAAGAGCUAGGAAGCUCCCUUGAGUCUUUCUCUCAAACUCCCUUGAGUCUUUCUUCUUCAUACUCUCUCAAACUCUCUACCUCUCAUACUUUCGGAUCCAGCCACUAAGAAAGGUAAAUCCUUUUAUGCAAGAGUGAUUCUAUGUCUAUUUCCGUCAAGAACCAGAAACUUGGUGGUACCAGUACCCAAGUCUAAACUCCUUCGACUUUAGGCUCUCAGUUCCUCUGCUUUCAGUUAACAGGUUUUAUUUUGGAGCAGAGGGAGCCUUAGUCGAGUUUUGGGAGGAGUUGGUUUUAGUUUUAAAAGUAUAGAUCCUGAAUUAGUAAUUUGAUGUUUAGCUUUGUAGUGUUGUGUAUUUUAGGAUCUAAUAAAAGUUGUGUACCUUAAAGUGUUAAGAGAUGUAUUAAGUGAAAGUGUGAAAUUUGAAUAAUUGGUGGAUUAUGUUAUUCUUUGAGUACAAUGUAGAUGCUCUGAAUGUCAAGUGAAAA